CUGGUUACAAAAUGCCUGGAAUGAAGCAAGCAGGUGCUGGGAAGGUUAUCUGAGGAGAGCGCUGCCUUCAUUCUCUGUGUUUCUCAUUCCCCCGCCUGUCUUGGGAGCAGCAUGGAGGGCAUCUUCUGCAGGUGCUACAGUUUAGUGUCUGAGAAGCCUGGAUGUUACCAGAACAAGUAAUCUUGCCCUAGAGAGAGAGGGCUGGCAGGUGAGCUUCCGGAGCAGAGCAGCAUAGUCAGAAGCACGACGACGGAACCAGGAGAGCAGCAUUCAGCCUGGCACCAGCCUUUUCUCCUGCUUAAUUCUUCCUUUGCUUCUGGGAAACUUCUGUUGGCGCGCUCAUUCACACACCAAACAGGGCAUCCUAGUGACAGAGUAAGGACCUGAACACUCUGCUGAUAGUGUCAAGGUUUUCAGACUAAAGACAACAAAUAAUACUGUAAGUGGAGGCAGAUUUUAUUUAGACUGUACAAACAGGGCACUGGGGAAAAAAACCCAAAAACAAAACAAAAAAACCCCAAACCAAACAGUGGCUUAAUGUUGGGACCAGUUCUAUGAAAUAAGUCGGGUAAGAAAUUAAAAAGGCACUAAUCUUAAGAAAAGACACUCCAUAUCUUCUAAGAAUAUAAUUCAUUUAAUACUGUUAAUCUUAUAGCACAAAAAAUAAAACACGCUAUGAUCCCCA
rnacentral:lncRNA from 14 species